rnacentral:rRNA from 1 species
ACGGGUGAGUAACGCGUGAGUAACCUGCCUUUCAGAGGGGGAUAACGUUCUGAAAAGAAACGCUAAUACCGCAUAACAUCAAUUUAUCGCAUGAUAGGUUGAUCAAAGGAGCAAUCCGCUGGAAGAUGGACUCGCGUCCGAUUAGCCAGUUGGCGGGGUAACGGCCCACCAAAGCGACGAUCGGUAGCCGGACUGAGAGGUUGAACGGCCACAUUGGGACUGAGACACGGCCCAGACUCCUACGGGAGGCAGCAUG